CUGAAGGAAUACCGGUGGCGAAGGCGGCCCCCUGGACAGAUACUGACACUCAGAUGCGAAAGCGUGGGGAGCAAACAGGAUUAGAUACCCUGGUAGUCCACGCCGUAAACGAUGUCUACUUGGAGGUUGUGGCCUUGAGCCGUGGCUUUCGGAGCUAACGCGUUAAGUAGACCGCCUGGGGAGUACGGUCGCAAGAUUAAAACUCAAAUGAAUUGACGGGGGCCCGCACAAGCGGUGGAGCAUGUGGUUUAAUUCGAUGCAACGCGAAGAACCUUACCUACUCUUGACAUCCAGAGAACUUUCCAGAGAUGGAUUGGUGCCUUCGGGAACUCUGAGACAGGUGCUGCAUGGCUGUCGUCAGCUCGUGUUGUGAAAUGUUGGGUUAAGUCCCGCAACGAGCGCAACCCUUAUCCUUGUUUGCCAGCGAGUAAUGUCGGGAACUCCAGGGAGACUGCCGGUGAUAAACCGGAGGAAGGUGGGGACGACGUCAAGUCAUCAUGGCCCUUACGAGUAGGGCUACACACGUGCUACAAUGGCGCAUACAGAGGGCGGCCAACUUGCGAAAGUGAGCGAAUCCCAAAAAGUGCGUCGUAGUCCGGAUUGGAGUCUGCAACUCGACUCCAUGAAGUCGGAAUCGCUAGUAAUCGUGGAUCAGAAUGCCACGGUGAAUACGUUCCCGGGCCUUGUACACACCGCCCGUCACACCAUGGGAGUGGGCUGCAAAAGAAGUAGGUAGUUUAACCUUCGGGGGGACGCUUACCACUUUGUGGUUCAUGACUGGGGUGAAGUCGUAACAAGGUAGCGCUAGGGGAACCUGGCGCUGGAUCACCUCCUUAAACGAUGAU
rnacentral:rRNA from 1 species